rnacentral:rRNA from 1 species
GAUGAACGCUGGCGGCGUGCUUAACACAUGCAAGUCGAACGGAAAGGCUCCUGCUUGCCGGGGUACUCGAGUGGCGAACGGGUGAGUAACACGUGGGUGAUCUGCCCUGCACUUCGGGAUAAGCCUUGGAAACUGGGUCUAAUACCGGAUAGGACCACAUUUUGGAUGGUGUGGUGGAAAGUUUUUCGGUGUGGGUUGAGCUCGCGGCUUAUCAGCUGGUUGGUGGGGUAAUGGCUUACCAAGGCGUCGACGGGUAGCCGGCCUGAGAGGGUGUACGGCCACAUUGGGACUGAGAUACGGACCAGACUCCUACGGGAGGCAGCAGUGGGGAAUAUUGCACAGUGGGCGCAAGCCUGAUGCAGCGACGCCGCGUGGGGGAUGACGGCCUUCGGGUUGUAAACUACUUUCGCUAGGGACGAAGCGCAAGUGACGGUACCUGGAGAAGAAGCACCGGCUAACUACGUG